rnacentral:pre_miRNA from 1 species
UUUUAUGGAUGAGCAAAGAAAAUAGUUUCUUGAGAUAGGUGCUACUCUUGGUGAAGAUGUUGUGAA